rnacentral:lncRNA from 1 species
CAUGCGGACCACAAACUGAGCCUCAGGAGGGGGGAUUGUGUGAGGGGUUAGAAGGGACAUCUUCAAAUGUUCGCAGAGGAACUCAACAACAGUAAUCCAGUGUACCCCUGAUCCAUCAGAGACCUGAGCCCUAGGACCAUGCCUCAGGACUACCUGGUAUGAUGACUCCUUGCUGUCCCCAGUCCACCUGGCCGUGCUGCUGCUCCAGUUUCAACUGUUCUGCCUGCGGCUAUGGAACCCUGACCUGUUCACCGGACGUGCUUGUUGCACCCUCGACAACUACUAUGAUUAUUAUUAUUUGACCAUGCUGGUCAUUUAUGAACAUUUUAACAUUUUGACCAUGUUCUGUUAUAAUAUCCACCCUGCACAGCCAGAAGAGGACUGGCCACCCCUCAUAGCCUGGUUCCUCUCUAGGUUUCUUCCUAGGUUUUUGGCCUUUCUAGGGAGUUUUUCCUAGGGAGUUUUUCCUAGCCACCGUGCUUCUUUCACAUGCUUUGCUUGCUGUUUGGGGUUUUAGGCUGGGUUUCUGUACAGCACUUUGAGAAUAUCAGCUGAUGUACGAAGGGCUAUAUAAAAAUAAAUUUGAUUUGAUUUGAAAUUUGAAUAAAG